AUGGAAUCCAGAGCAACGAGCACCAAAGCUCGUCUCCUCUUGCUCCUGCUACUGGCAUGCACAUGCGGCGCCGUCUCCCCCUCAGGCGAAGCUGCUGAAGCCAAAGCACUUCUGACAUGGAAGUCCACCCUGAGGAUCUCCGACGCAAACGCCUCUUCUCCGCUCUCGUCAUGGUCGCCGGCCAGCUCCCCGUGCGGUUCUUGGUCCGGCGUCGCGUGCAACGCGGCCGGCCGUAUCGCCGCGCUCACGGUUCCGGGGGCCGGGGUCGCAGGCACGCUCGACGCCUUGGAUUUCUCCGCGUUGCCGGCGCUCGCAAGCCUCAACCUCAGCGGCAACCGUCUCGCGGGCGCCAUCCCCGCCAACGUCUCCCUCCUGGCCUCGCUUGCCUCGCUCGACCUUUCCAGCAACAACCUCACCGGCGGCAUACCGGCGGCGCUCGGGACGCUGCGCGGCCUGCGAGCUCUUGUCCUCCGGAACAACCCGCUCGGUGGGCGGAUCCCGGGCUCCCUCGCCAAGCUCGCCGCGCUGCGGCGGCUGGACCUCCAGGCCGUGCGGCUCGUGGGUACGAUUCCGCCGGAGCUGGGGCGCCUGAGAGCUCUCACCUUCUUGGACCUGUCCAGGAACAGCCUCUCCGGCGAGCUGCCACCGUCCUUCGCCGGGAUGGCCAAGAUGAGGGAGCUCUACCUGUCAAGAAACAACCUCUCGGGUGUUAUUCCUCCUGAGCUCUUCACUAGCUGGCCUGAGGUAACUCUCUUCUUCCUGCACUACAAUUCGUUCACCGGAAGCGUACCGCCGGAGAUCGGCAGAGCAGGCAAGCUGCGGUUCUUGGCGCUCGAGGCCAACAACCUUACCGGCGUCAUCCCGGCGGAGAUCGGCAGCUUGACGGGCCUCGAGUUUCUGGAUUUGGGGAGGAACUCGCUAUCCGGACCGAUCCCUGCUUCUAUCCGAAGCCUCAAGCUGCUUGUCGGCAUGGCUCUGUCCUUCAACGGCCUCACUGGCUUGGUGCCCCCUGAAAUUGGCAGUAUGUCCUUACUACAAAACCUUGAUCUCAACGGUAACCAGCUCGAGGGUGAGCUACCUGCAACUAUUUCAUCGCUCAAAGAUCUCUACAGUCUUGACUUCAGUAACAACAAGUUCACCGGUACAAUCCCAAGCAUUGGCAGUAAGAAAUUGCUCUCAGCUGCCUUUGCCAACAAUAGUUUCUCGGGGAGCUUCCCCCGGACAUUUUGCGAAAUCGCAUCAUUGGCACUGUUGGAUUUAUCUAGCAACCAACUGUGGGGUGAGCUCCCUAACUGCCUAUGGGACUUGGAGGAUCUAUUGUUCCUAGAUUUGUCAAGCAAUGGUUUCUCCGGGAAGGUUCCGUCAUCUGGGUCUGCUAAUUUAUCGUCAUUGGAAUCAUUGCAUUUGGCAAAUAACAGACUCACAGGUGAGUUCCCAACUAUACUGAAGAAGUGUAAGCAGCUCAUUGUCCUUGAUAUCGGUGGCAACUACUUUUCCAGCCAAAUUCCAUCAUGGAUAGGCUCAAAUCUUCCUUUCCUGAGGAUUCUCCGGCUGCGGUCGAACUCGUUUAGUGGUAGCAUUCCCUGGCAACUGUCACAGCUCUCCCAUCUCCAGCUACUCGACCUAGCUGCCAACCGAUUUUCAGGUCCCAUGCCGCAGGGUUUGCUUGCCAAUUUAACAUCCAUGAUGAAACCACAGACAGAGUUCAACAUGACUUCACUAAUCCACCAUCAAGUUCUACAUCUAGAUGGUGCGAUGAAUUUUGUCGACCGGAUCGAUGUCAACUGGAAGAUGAAGAGCUACACAUUCCAAGGGACGAUUGCACUUAUGGUAGGUAUCGAUUUAUCAGGCAAUUCGUUCUCUGGUGAGAUUCCAACUGAGCUAGCAAAUCUCUGGGGCCUCCGGUUUCUGAAUCUGUCAAGGAACCAUUUGUCAGGCCACAUCCCUGAAAACAUUGGUGAUCUCAAACUGCUGGAAUCCCUUGACUGCUCGUGGAAUGAAUUAUCUGGUGCAAUUCCUUCGAGCAUCUCGAAACUGCCGUCUCUUAGCUCUCUCAGUCUCUCCAAUAAUAAUCUCUCUGGCGAGAUACCAACUGGGAAUCAGCUCCAAACACUGGACGACCCUUCCAUUUACAACAACAAUUCUGGGCUUUGCGGAUAUCCAUUGGUCGCAUGCUCCAAAGGUUCUUCGGGUACUGUGGAAACACUGGACGUAGAACUUGAAACCGUGUAUUUCUACUACUCAAUAAUUGCUGGACUCGUCCUUGGAUUUUGGCUGUGGUUGGGGUCUCUAGUUUUCUUCAAGACGUGGAGGACUUAUGUUUUCUGUUGUGUGGAUCGCCUUCAAGAUAAGGUUAUGAAAAGACGCAGAGCGUUUCGUUAA
rnacentral:rRNA from 1 species